GCCGGGCGUGGUAGUGCACACCUGUAAUCCCAGCUACUUGGGAGGCUGGGGCAGGAGAAUCGCUUGAACCCAGGAGCCGGAGGUUGCAAUGAAUCAAGAUUGUGCCAUUGCACUCCAGCCUGGGCUACAGAGCGAGACUCUGUCUUAA
rnacentral:SRP_RNA from 2 species